UACGGAGGGGGCUAGCGUUGUUCGGAAUUACUGGGCGUAAAGCGCGCGUAGGCGGACCUGCAAGUCGGGGGUGAAAGCCCGAGGCUCAACCUCGGAACUGCCUUCGAUACUGCGGGUCUCGAGUCCGGGAGAGGUGAGUGGAAUUCCUAGUGUAGAGGUGAAAUUCGUAGAUAUUAGGAAGAACACCAGUGGCGAAGGCGGCUCACUGGCCCGGUACUGACGCUGAGGCGCGAAAGCCAGGGGAGCAAACGGG
rnacentral:rRNA from 1 species